UUGUCCCUAGAAAAAGGAUAAAGAUAUCUUGGUUAUAAUACAUCCGAAGAAGGUAGCAUCUUUGGGGAAUUUACUCUCCUUUUUUUUAUUCCGAAUAAAAUUAUAUAUAGUUUAUAUAUAUAUAAAUUAUAUCAGGAUAGGUGAACAAAAUUACAAGGACCUACUGCCGAAACGUUUCCUUUUGGGCAGAAGGCCGGCAUGCAUUGGACGCGUUCCCGGAUGUAAACUUCGGUCGAAGAUGUAAUGGAAUCGUUCUAGUCGCAACAUAAAAGCGUACAGGCACUUUCGUGAUCCACUUGCGAGGGAAGAAGGGGGGCAGAAAGAGUAAGACGGGGGCGUAAAAAGGAUAAAUCGAUACGCGAAAUUACCAUACUCUCAGGACAUUUACGUCUUGCGAUUCUUGUUCGCCAGUAUCCACUACACACUCGGUAAUCCAAUAUUCAUGAAAGCCGGAUGUACAUUUUAGCUUCGAUAAUAAAAACGACAGUAAAAUAUGAAUGCUCGUCGCCGUCAGCCGAUCCUUCUCAACCCGGUAGACGCGGUAGGGGACUCGUGGUGUACGACUCCACGUCCAUCGCGACCGGUGAUGAACUAUUUUAUUAACGCACAACGCGUAAUUAUACCUCCGUUAAUUGGGUAUUCGAUCUUCCGUGACGCAACUGUAACGACACCGCGGACAUCGACGCAUCGAUAAUUUACGCCGAGCCGCGUUAUUACACGGAAAGCAAAAGGGCAGCCGAGCCCCUCUCUCUUUCUCUAGCUCAUUUUAAUUAAUAUUCUUGUUUACGUUCGCCACUCUUGCGAUAUACAGAUUACCGCCUAUCAAAGCCCAGAACGGAAGGCAACGUGGGCGAGCGGCAGAUCCGUCGGCGAUAGGUGAUGACACUCGGACGCGCAUGACGGCAGUAACCACAUAAACGCAUGCUAACCACAUAGAAAGCAUGCUAUUCUCUCGUCCGCCAUAAUGAACUGUUCCGUAGUUCAACGAUUCGGUCCGGCCCUUUUAGCCACGAGAGCGACCCUCGCAAGUAGGUCAGGUCCGGACACGGAUACAGGGCUAAAUGCGACGCGCUCGGACGCGCAAGAAGAAGGGUCGCCGACCGGGACGUGCCGUGCACGGAGUUCACAAAGAGAGCUUUAACCCUCCGACGCCCACGCGAGCAGAAACCUCGUCUCGCGAAUCUUUCUCCCCCUCCCCUCCGAAAGAAUGUCAUUUGAUGUACGAUGAUGCACGUCGAUGACGCUUUCCGUCCGCGAUAACGGUGCCGGAAAUGGAACGUUCCCGCGCUCCAUAUUCGCUUUAUCUGUGAAAACUCAUCCUUUAAACCACCCGAACGGGAUAAUCGCGCAGCGAGAUUAUUCAGAGGAACGAAGUUGUCGGAUGCGCUCGUACAAGACAUUCCGCUCGAUCUUAAAAUGUUUCUUAGAAUAUUCCAGUAGAGAUUCUUAUGACGUUGAAUCGCGUAUAAUCCAGAAACAAUUGUCGUACGUACUUCUACGUACAAUUUUAUACCAUGAUUCGUUUAUGUCAUGUCCUAUGCAUAUUGUACACAGUUUUUUUUUUUCAAGUUGCAUACGCAAGGAAACUGCCAUACAGCGUUAAUUAUGUACGGUAAAAAGGUAGAAAAUCCCUAUAUUCAGCCUGUAAAUAGACUCAUUAGUAUUUUUUCUUGGUAAUUAUUUUACACGCAUCGAAUGUAACCCGUUAAUUACGUCCACGCAAGCAUUUAAUUACACUAAACUCAAGAAGAAUGAACUUGGUGUAUUUAUUCCGUUUAAGCUCGGCAACUAGCUAGCUUUUAAAGCGCAUCGCGCAGCCAGCGGGCUCCCUCGCUCCCGUGUUUUGUGCACGCGCGCGAUUAUGUUGCGCGUUACGCACAAUACCUUUCGGCCGACCCCAUUGUUUUCCGGCACGUCACGCAUUAGUCUCGAACCCCUUAACGUAAAUUUCAUCCCUCCCUUCGUGGCGUUCGCCCUGCUAUUCUCGGUGCCACCAUGUGAACCCUCUAUUGACGGCGCGCGGAUGGGGUGGUGGAAUUAUUUUUAAAAACAACACGCGAACAAUAAAAUCCCCCGAUUAAUAUCCGCACCCCCGCCGGCGCUCGGACGCGGAACGGGAGGAAAUUCGAAUUCGCGAAUGGAAACGGCGAUUAUCGUGACAAACAAUACGGCCGUGGUAGAAUAAAAACAAAUCUCUCGUUUUAAAACUUCAAAUAUUUUGGAAAAAAAAAGAUUUUCGAGGCCGGCGUUAUUUUCGGGAACAUUUUUUAAAUUUUAGUACCUUUGCUAUUAAUAUUAAUAGAAAUAACUAAUAUAUUGACAAAUAUUAAUUAAUAGCUAUAAUAAAUGAAGGUCGGCUUGUAGACGCCGUUGUCGCCGAACGUUGUCGUCCGAGUUAUCAACAAACUUGAUGCUCUCAACGCUUCCUCGUCGGCAAUUUGCGUCAAUUUUCAUUGAUAAAUUAAUGCCACGGGUUAAAGCGCAUUUCGUUCAACUAAUUCAACGAUACACGUGUACAUUUACGUACGAUCUCCAAUCAGACAUGAGACUGCAAAAGACAGUGUAAACGAUGUCGUAAAAUUUAUGUUACGUAGUCCCGCGGCUCAAAUGACUCGAAACGUUCUCUUGACAUUACGAGCUAUUUAAUCCGAGUGAUAACGAGAAAACAGCUCGUUUAUCUAAAUGAGUGACUCGUAGGUGUUAAAAAAGACGUGUAAAUUAUAUAAUUGCAAUUAAUGUAUCACGACAAAGAGAUGAUCUCAUCUCUCUUUGUUUGAUAUAAGUGUCACAACACACGAAAUGAGGCACGUAAAUUGCAGAAAUGUGUGAGAGACUCCAAGUAAAAAAUUUACGUUGCAUUUAAUAACGCAAAUAGAGAUGUUAUGAUGAAAUAUUAAAAUGCCGCAAUAUUUUUGGAGAGCUUUUCUGUGAAAGCAAGUAACAUGUGUGUUUCCAUUUGAACAGUUGAAACAGUUUCACGUAGACAUAUAACAUUGAAACAGAGUAUUUUUCUAAAUUACCCCUGGUCCAUUAACUGUCGCAGACCUCUGAAUUUUCCAACAUUCUCCCAUAAAUAAAAAUCAACAUUUUUCAGUCUGUAAUACGUAUGCCGGUAAAGAUUUUAUCUCGUCUCGUCUAUUAGAAAAUAUUUAAAAUUUUAACGGGGAGAAAAAAGCAGGACAUUUAAUGCGGAAUGUUUCUGUUCCCGCACAUAUGUGAUACUUAUAUGAAUGUACGUCGACCAGAUAAUCGAGCGCAAAGCUAAUGGAUGUUCCGAUAAUCGAACACUCGGCUAAUGGCUGUUCGAAUAAUCGAGAUUCUACCGUGUACCAUGUUAAAGUAGGUACUCUGUACCCAUACUCGUCUAUCCCACGGUACCACGCUGAUUUACUUAAGCCAUUGACUUUGUCUACUCCACGACGACCUACAUACUGAAACGCAAUAAUUUCAAAUAUACGCCGGCAUUAAUAAUAGAAUAAUGACAGCGAGGAUCGAGCGAGACCUUUAUCUCAAGCCGUGCGAGACAUUUCCUUGAUAAUUUGCAUACUUUAAGCGAUGUAUUGGAAGUACGAAUAAAUAUUCAAGGUUUUCGUAAGAAUCGCAAAUAGAUAUUAUAGCCGUCACGACGCCUGCAAUCAAUUUAAUAGAAAUUCAAUCGUAAAUAUAGAAGUAUUAACAUAUUACACAAGGCGAUUUGCGGCUGUGCAUGAAAUAUCAAAGCUGUCUCGUUUAAAAUCGAAACCACUUUAUCUCGAGAAAUACGUUGAAAUACUUAAAUCUAUUUUGCGAGAAAAGAUUACGUGUUACAUAAAAAAGCUUUUCGCAAAUAUCGUGCAUUAUGUAAUCUUCAUCUUUUAAAAAUACGGAUUCCAAGGGAAAUAUCUAUAAAAAAAAAAUAAGUUCUUAGAUUACAGCAUUAAAUAUACAUUACUUGUCGUCUUGAACAACAGCAACUUGCUAAAGAUAUCUGACACCUCGAGAUGACAUCGUCGCGCUGCAUCCGCGGCCUCCCGACUUUUAUGAAAUAUCUCUAUUUUGCAAGGGCCGCGCAGCGAUAUUAAAUUUCCUUCGAAUGCUGACUUUUACGCGUCGCAAAAUCGCAAAUGCGUUUGGGGUGACUCACGGACCGCAACGGUUAAGGUCGGCUUAAUUGCGUCCCCCGGAGAUUUAUCGCGAAAGUAGCGUCUUCCGUGGUCCACGAGCUUUUUCGACCCUUCCUCUUCUAUCUCUCUCGUCGGAACGCGGUGUGCCUGCAAAUUUCGCGUUUGGAAACAAGGGAAAGUCGAGAGAGACCGACCCUUAACGUUGUCAAGAGGCCGAGAGACGCUUUGUUUCCCAUCCCGUCGUAUUGUAACAAGGAUCCUCUCGUCGUUCAAACAAAAAUAUCAGGUUUUCGGUGAUGCUUACAGAAUGAAUCCCACACAGGCGAUAUAACAUCGCUCUUAUCUACACUUACGGAAUUAAGCUGCACAAAUAAUUCAGAGACUCAGUUGUAAAAAUAGCGAAGUAAUACUCAAAUGAGCGGUCCUCGGUAUUAUUAGGGCGGCUGCCGAUGAUCCUCCCACGAAUGUUUCGUCAACGGGAAACGCGAGGAACGGUUAACUUCGUCGGAAGAGCGUGGGCGAGGUUUUAUCGGGACAAGGUGAAUUUCGCGAACGCAACGGGACACGGUUCUUUCGGCCCGAGAUACAGAUUGAACAAUUCGCUAUCGCGAGACCAAGUGGGCGUAGUAUCGCGUCUCGACAUCUAACAUCAUUGAAAAUACACCGUCGUCAUUCGCGGUGACGAAUCACGUCGGCAGAAAAAAGGCAAUUGUUAUAUUACACCAGCGAGAGACAGAGAGAGAGAGAGAGAGAGAGAGAGAUCGCUCGUCGAAUCGAAACCGUUUGCGCGAGGUCGCGACGAUCGUUUCUUAAUUUCUCGCGCUUUAUUCCUCGCGAAGGUUCCGAAUGAAAGAUUAAGCUGCUGUCUGCUUGUAUUUGCAGAAUGUCCUAAAAUCAUCGAACGUUUUUGUUAACAGACCUGUCCCUUUUUAGCUGAACUUCUUACAGGAUUCAUCUCCCCUCUUUUUCUCUUCAUGUUGGAGAGAAGGCGAGAAAACGACGAGCCAUGCCAGUGGUUUGGCUAAAAACGACAGGCCUAAUGUAACAUGUACGUGUCUCCCUCGCUCCGCGCACUUAUUCGGAGCUCAUCAAAAUCGUGGGAACGCGGCCGUCUGUUUGAAGCGAGUAAAAGACGCCGGCAUACGUCGAAUAAUUGGCGCGUCGCGUAUAAUUCCUGCGACGGUGAAUACAUAAUACAACGACGGUGGCAUACCUCUCUCUCUCUCUCUCUCUUCCUCUCCCUGGCUCCCUCUCGGUCACGAUAAAAGAAGAAGCAAAAGUAGGAGCGGGCAACUUCUCAGGGGUGGCUGACACUCGAGAGAUGCUCCAUUUCUUGGCUCGGUUUUCUACGUCGACGAGCCUCGUUAAACUCCCAUUGGGCCCGUUCCAGCUUCCGGCGCGGCGCAAAAGUGACGCGAUUCACGUGUAGCAGCGUAUGAGAUCCUCCCCUUUCUAUCUGUCCCCCUCUCCCCCUUCACUUCCCGUCGUCUCCCCCUCGCACCUCCGUUUGGCGACACACGUCACAUCCGUACGCGAGCAUACAUCUCCCGGUGGUUAUGACCCGUUGCAGCCGCGCGGCUUCGUGAAGACGCAUUUCUCUUUCUCUCGGAAGAGCCGGUGACUGUCCAUAUUUUGCAUUCGCCGCCGCGGCUGUUUUAUCGCGUGAAAGUUGACACAUUACUCAGAGGCGUUUGGACGCCCGGGGUAAUUACUCGCGAUAUGAUACAUUAGCCCGGGGCUCCAGACGCUCCGGGAAAUUACUCGCGUUACGUAAUUCCGCGCAAUUAAAGUUUUACCCCUCUUCCGACCGUUAACUUCGUCUACCGCGAUUUAUCCUGGAUGCGCGCUAAAUAAUUUCCGCGAUCCUUCAACGCGAUCCGCCACGCGCGGUCCUCGAAAGUCGCGACGGCUCUCGCGCGACGUUCGAGACAAAGUUCGCUGCGCAAAGUCCACCUUAUAAAACAUUAAUAUCGCGUCCCGUGUGCCGCGAAAUUACUUGAUCGACUCAAUCGAUGGAGCGAAAACAGUCGGGAGGAGAACAUUCGCCGGUAUUAGAACGGCUGCCGUCGUUGCAUAUAAUAUCACGUCGCAUAAUUUAAUAUCGCGCGUUAUGUUUCCUUGUUGACUAGAAACUUCGAUAACGGCGGCGACGGCGGGCCGUCACCGAUAUCCACUUGCUGCAGCUCCGCGAUACUCGUUGAAGUUUCGAUACGGUAGUUACAACAGCGGCGUAAUGCACACACCGACGCGCGGUAUGUCAAAGCCAAACGUGUCCAUUUCCCUUAAUUCAUUCGAUUAAUCGCGCGCGAUCGGAUUUGAAUAUCGUACGGGUUUGAUUGCGCGCGCGCGCGCGCACAGGCAAGUUUGAAAUUCCCUUUUAUGAAUUUUUAACCGUUGUUCCGCCAAAUGAGGCUGUUUCGUCAAGACGCGCCGAGCUAAAAUCUCGUUUACAACCGAAACGAUUUUUAUUCCGCGACCGAGCGCGGCACGCGCGGACGUGUUGGAAAAACGUCGGGAUAACAAGAGCGGGAGAGAAAAUACAUUUCCCGCAUAAAGCUUAUAGCUGGAAAUUGUGCUUUAUAUCAAUAUUAUGCCAGUAUACGCAGUCGUAUAAUGCAUAUCCCCGUGAGCUCCGUAACGAAUAUUGGAAUUUCCAUUCGAAUGUGCGCGUCGGCGGAUGGCGCAGCGGCCACGCGAUCGCAGCACGUGUUUUGCCUUCCCUCCCCGUGUAUUAUGGGAAGAACAUUAUUUUUCCUACUCUUCCCCUUCCCCCUAUCUACAAAAAUUUUCCAUCCGAUAUUUCUAAUUUUCCGUGCACGUAACAACGACCUCCCAUACCUCGUUGUUAUCGGAAAAACAAAGCUCCGUAUGGCAACAACACUGCAAAUGUUUUAUUCGUGAAAGAGAAAAUUGUAAGAAGAAGCACAGACGACCGAUCGAUUGUCGCGAGGCCAAUUUACGGUUACGUGUUGUAAUCGGCAUGACGCAAAUUCCGUUUUACCUCUCGGGCCUACAGGUGGCUGUAACUUUGAAUGAGACGUGCCUGGAGUACAAUUGCGCCGAUACGAGGCUCGCGUAUACGAUCGGGCCUCGAUAUUGCGCUUGAGAUCGUGUGCGGGGACCGGUUCCAGAACGGUAUGUCUCGAUCGUUCGUCGCGGACAGGUGCGCGGUUUGAGGGGAGAAAAAACGUGUUCGGUUGACAAACGUCACAGGUCGCGACGUCUCCGCGGCGUGGGAACGUCAGGCGCGUCUACGCGAACUCGCGUGCGACGGGUUGCGAGGGUUGCGAGAUACAUACGACACCGGGGCGCGUUACUCAUUGGCCAACAGGCGCAAAUUGGUAUCGACGCGCCCCAGUAAUUUCCCAGGGGCGUUAACCUGUGACUUACGAGGUGGUAAUACUACGUGGAAAUCCUGACGCGAAAGAUCCCCGCCGCUCUUCCGUCACGUACGAUAAUUUACAUUCUCCACGUGGCAUCGUUGAGAUAAUACGAGAAGCGACGAAAGCGACGGAGGAGGAGGAGGAGGAGGUGGAGGGGGAGAGCAAAACGCAAAGCCGAAAGACCGAGGAAUGUAUAUUAACUUCUGGAGGAUGCUCCAAGUAUUUUUGCUUGUUCGAUACUAGAACGUAUAUAUAUUUGAAACUGCAACUCUCUGAGAAAUCCCGCUUUUCUCUCCUUACGACAUUUUCCGUGGUUCUGCGGAAAUAAAAAUAUAAAAAGUACGGAAAAGUCGGGAGCUCGUUCGUUAUGUGGGACGCUUCGUUUGCAGGGAAGUAAAAUCUUUUGGUAUUCGUAAUUGUGGUAAAAAAAUAUUUAUAUCUAAAUAUGUGGUGAAAAAUAUAAAGAACGAAAAAUAUUAACAAACAAUGGUUUAAAAAAAUGAGAAAUAAAAAUUGUACGUUGCAAUAUCCUGAAAUAUUUCAGAGCUGAUAAUUAAUUGUGUAACUUUUGCUUUAUAAUAAUAUUCUUUCGAUCCUAAUUAUAUAUAUAUAUAUUUAUCUCCGAUUGUUUAUUGAUUUUAUGAAUGAUUCAGGAGGGGUAACACGCCUCACUAAGAAACGUUCUCGGAUCGUGAACGAUUGUUUAAUGCAUGCUACCGAAAUUAAUUUCUCGUGUCGUGCCGCACCGACGAAAUAUUCGCGAUGCAACGAUGACGUAUGCGCUAUGAAACCGCAUAAACGUCGCCUCCUCGGAAAGGCCCUUUUGCCCCUAACCCGCUCUCGGCGGUCGUGUUCUGCUUACUCACAGAUUUACCAUCCAUUUCCGAGAUGGCAUAUCCAUGUACUUAUCAGAUUGUCUACCUUGUAACGACGCAGCAAUACCAUCACUCAAAGGAGCCGGAGUGCGCGAUUGUGUGUCACGCUCCAGCCCGUAAUAUCCACCUAUGGAACAUAGGUCCCUGAACAUUUCCCAUCAGGGCUCCUCUGUCCCUCCUAAAUCGAUAACCACUGUGCCAACGACGGUAAAGAAGUGUUCCUUUGAGAUUCAUCUCGAACGGCCCGUGAUAAAAACCUUCGAUUUAAAUCGCGCGUGUUUCGCACUUCUUGCAGUUUUUCCUUCAAACAUUAUUCAAAACGUUUUACCGAUGUUGAUCCCAUUGAAAAAAUUUUCAUAAAUGGUUUAACGCACACGAACUCGUCUCUGAUUUGACUAAACUCUUUGUACACUUAAGGAAGUAUUCUCGCUUUCAGUAGCAUUUAUAUAUCUUUGUUUAGGAAUUUUCUUAAGAAAAAGUAUACACUUGAAACUUGAUAUAGUUUUUUGUACAGUUUCUUCUUUGAAUUUAAAUGUCCUUUAUAAUUGUUUUAAAUUACAAAAGAUAUUUUUAGCAAUUAUUUACAAAUUUGUAUGAUUACGUAAAAAAAUAUCAGCUUACUGUUGCCAUGACUUAAAAACAUAGAUUAUCUAAAAUAAAAAAUUGAUCUUGGAAAAAUGGCAAAGUUUUGAAAAAAUAUUUGUUUCACUUUUUAAGACUUUUUUUUAUCGAAAAAUAAAAAGUGGAAUUUUUAUUUAAUUGUAAACCGAACAAGAGAGAAUCACGUAUUGUGAAUAUUUGCUAAAAAAUUUGAGUUUUAUCGAGUUAAAAAUAGAUUAGUUAUCGUGCAAUAAUUUUGAAAAAUUUUAUUUUUUUAAAUGUGUUAAAAAAUUUGAAAAUAAUUUAUGUUAUUAAAAAUUUUUUACAAGCCUUUUACUUUUAAUCCGUUCGCUUCCUCUCUCAAGUUUCAAAUUAUUAAAUAAAUGUGAAAGAGUAAUCAAUUUUUUGAAACCGUAAAGAGACUCCCUUAAAAUUUUACAAGCUUCUGAUUAAUAUAUAAUAUAAUAUUAUUGUAUAAUACAAUACUAUUCCCUGUAUAUACAGAAGAGAAUUGAGAAACUAAAUAUACGUCAGCUUCACCGAUGAAUUUCUUACCUUGUUACCUCGUUGUAUUAUUGUGUUUACUCGUGAAAGAUUUCGCAAAAGCGUUUACAGUGCCUUCGUAUUCGCGGGGCGUGACGGAAUCGAAUAAAACAGAAUUUCGAAACGGAAAAUGCCAUUCCCGUCGAAACGUCAAUCUCGAACACGGGACGUGGAAGUUCGACCGAUUACAUUACGUCGGAUUCAUGUGUACGAUGCCAUUUGUGCGCAUAAACGUCAGAAAAAUUUUGAGCGAUACGCGGGGAUGAAAGGGCAAAAAUCAUCGGCUAGGCAAGCAACGGAAGGGGGAGGAAAAGGGUUAACGGUGAAAUUCGCCGAUCGUAUUCCACCUCGUUGAACGGAAUGUUGCGUGUAACAUUUGCAACGCCCCAUGCUCGAAAAUUUCAUUGCGAUGAAAAGGGAGCUCGUAUUACGGCCACUUGGUGUAAUAUACGAGCGGCUGCAUUGCCUUUCGAACAUUUUAAUAACAUUUAAUAAAAGACCGUUGUCAAAAAUGCGUAAAAUUUCUAUUAAAAGUAUCAUUCUUUAACUCUCUAUUUAGCACCCGCUAUAUUUAUUGAUUUCCUGUUGAUGAAUGCGUAAUGAAUUCCAACUCAAUCCGAUUGCGCUAAUUCAGCUGCAAUUGUCGAGUUAAUAAAUGUAUAAUUAAAAUUGAAAAAAAA